GGGUUGUGAGGUUAAGCGACUAAGCGUACACGGUGGAUGCCCUGGCAGUCAGAGGCGAUGAAGGACGUGCUAAUCUGCGAUAAGCGUCGGUAAGGUGAUAUGAACCGUUAUAACCGGCGAUUUCCGAAUGGGGAAACCCAGUGUGAUUCGUCACACUAUCAUUAACUGAAUCCAUAGGUUA
rnacentral:rRNA from 1 species